UGACCUACUGUAAUCUAUCUCUCAUGCGAUGGAAAAGAUGAUUACAUGCACUUUGAGGAUUUAACAGAGAUGAGAAUCUAAACGCUGUUCCAGAGGCUUUCCACCACAAAACGGACAACUUUAUCUCCUGGGUCCUUUUUUAAAGGCUUUGGUGUGAAGAAGGCCUUGAAGGCAUCAAAAGCUGCCUCUGCACUGGACAUGGAAGGUUUUCCUCCAACACCGCCUUCUCGUCUUUCUCAUCUCCUCUCUUUUCCCGACUCAGAAAAUGAGAGAUCUGGUCCAAGAGGCUCCCUGGAACUUUGGUGUCCUUCUGCUUCUCUGUGAAAUCUGCCCCUCGUCCUCCCGCAGGA